rnacentral:miRNA from 1 species
UGGCAGUGUACUCUUAGUUAGCU